rnacentral:rRNA from 1 species
UUGACCUCGGAUCAGGUAGGGUUACCCGCUGAACUUAAGCAUAUCAAUAAGCGGAGGAAAAGAAACCAACAGGGAUUGCCUCAGUAACGGCGAGUGAAGCGGCAAGAGCUCAAAUUUGAAAUCUGGCUCCUUCGGGGCCCGAGUUGUAAUUUGGAGAGG